rnacentral:misc_RNA from 1 species
UUUCAAGUCUUUAACUAGGCUUUCGGGGGGCUUCGUACGCGUUACAAUCUGAUUGUAGCGCCUACGGCCCCUGUCUGAACCCGUGUCUUUGCGUACUACUUGUUUCCUUGGUGGGCUUGCCCGCCAAAAGGAUAAUUUAAUAACCUCUUUAAUUUUCAAUCAGCGUCUGAAUUAUUUUAAUAAUUACAACUUUCAACAACGGAUCUCUUGGUUCU